rnacentral:rRNA from 1 species
CCUACGGGAGGUAGCAGUGAGGAAUAUUGGUCAAUGGGCGCGAGCCUGAACCAGCCAAGUCGCGUGUGUGAGGACGGCCCUACGGGUUGUAAACCUCUUUUGCCGGGGCGCAACGGGCGUCACGUGUGGCGCCACUGAGAGUACCCGGAGAAAAAGCAUCGGCUGACUCCGUGCCAGCAGCCGCGGUAAUACGGUGGGGGCAAGCGUUAUCCGGAAUUACUGGGUGUCAAGGGCGCGUAGACGGUAAUGCAAGUCGGGAGUGAAAGGCGGGGGCUCAACCCCCGGACUGCUCUGGAAACUGGGUAACUGGAGUGCAGGAGUGGCAGGCGGAAUUCCUAGUGUAGCGGUGAAAUGCGUAGAUAUUAGGAGGAACACCAGUGGCGAAGGCGGCCUGCUGGACUGUAACUGACGUUGAGGCUCGAAAGCGUGGGGAGCAAACAGGAUUAGAUACCCUUGUAGUC